AGAGUUUGAUCCUGGCUCAGAUUGAACGCUGGCGGCAGGCUUAACACAUGCAAGUCGAGCGGGGAAGUGUAGCUUGCUACCUAACCUAGCGGCGGACGGGUGAGUAAUGCUUAGGAAUCUGCCUAUUAGUGGGGGACAACAUUCCGAAAGGAAUGCUAAUACCGCAUACGUCCUACGGGAGAAAGCAGGGGAUCUUCGGACCUUGCGCUAAUAGAUGAGCCUAAGUCGGAUUAGCUAGUUGGUGGGGUAAAGGCCUACCAAGGCGACGAUCUGUAGCGGGUCUAAGAGGAUGAUCCGCCACACUGGGACUGAGACACGGCCCAGACUCCUACGGGAGGCAGCAGUGGGGAAUAUUGGACAAUGGGCGGAAGCCUGAUCCAGCCAUGCCGCGUGUGUGAAGAAGGCCUUAUGGUUGUAAAGCACUUUAAGCGAGGAGGAGGCUACUCUAGUUAAUACCUAGAGAUAGUGGACGUUACUCGCAGAAUAAGCACCGGCUAACUCUGUGCCAGCAGCCGCGGUAAUACAGAGGGUGCGAGCGUUAAUCGGAUUUACUGGGCGUAAAGCGUGCGUAGGCGGCUGAUUAAGUCGGAUGUGAAAUCCCUGAGCUUAACUUAGGAAUUGCAUUCGAUACUGGUCAGCUAGAGUAUGGGAGAGGAUGGUAGAAUUCCAGGUGUAGCGGUGAAAUGCGUAGAGAUCUGGAGGAAUACCGAUGGCGAACGCAGCCAUCUGGCCUAAUACUGACGCUGAUGUACGAAAGCAUGGGGAGCAAACAGGAUUAGAUACCCUGGUAGUCCAUGCCGUAAACGAUGUCUACUAGCCGUUGGGGCCUUUGAGGCUUUAGUGGCGCAGCUAACGCGAUAAGUAGACCGCCUGGGGAGUACGGUCGCAAGACUAAAACUCAAAUGAAUUGACGGGGGCCCGCACAAGCGGUGGAGCAUGUGGUUUAAUUCGAUGCACGCGAGA
rnacentral:rRNA from 1 species